rnacentral:rRNA from 1 species
CCCUUAGAUGUUCUGGGCCGCACGCGUGCUACACUGAGUGGAUCAGCGGGUCAGGUUGCGCGAAAGUGUUUCCUAAUCUUGAAAUCCGCUCGUGAUGGGGAUUGACGGUUGCAAUUUUCCGUCAUGAACGAGGAAUACCUUGUAAGCGCGGGUCAUCAUCCCGCGCUGAAUACGUCCCUGCCCUUUGUACACACCGCCCGUCGCUCCUACCGAUUGAGUGGUCCGGUGAGGCUUUGGGAUCUGAGCAAAGAGAGCGUUUCGCUCGUUUUGCCCGGAAAACUCAGUCGAACCUUAUCAUUUAGAGGAAGGAGAAGUCGUAACG